rnacentral:rRNA from 1 species
UACGCAGGGUGCGAGCGUUGUCCGGAAUUACUGGGCGGAAAGAGCUCGUAGGUGGUUUGUCGCGUUGUUCGUGAAAUCUCACGGCUUAACUGUGAGCGUGCGGGCGAUACGGGCAGACUAGAGUACUGCAGGGGAGACUGGAAUUCCUGGUGUAGCGGUGGAAUGCGCAGAUAUCAGGAGGAACACCGGUGGCGAAGGCGGGUCUCUGGGCAGUAACUGACGCUGAGGAGCGAAAGCGUGGGGAGCGAACAGG